UACGUAGGUGGCAAGCGUUAUCCGGAAUUAUUGGGCGUAAAGCGCGCGCAGGCGGUUUCUUAAGUCUGAUGUGAAAGCCCACGGCUCAACCGUGGAGGGUCAUUGGAAACUGGGAAACUUGAGUGCAGAAGAGAAAAGCGGAAUUCCACGUGUAGCGGUGAAAUGCGUAGAGAUGUGGAGGAACACCAGUGGCGAAGGCGGCUUUUUGGUCUGUAACUGACGCUGAGGCGCGAAAGCGUGGGGAGCAAACAGG
rnacentral:rRNA from 1 species